GGCUCAUUAUCGCUCUCCGCAACCCAACCCCACCAACCUUCAAUGUUAUAUGGAUAUUUGGGCCGAGCUGGAGGAGGUGGAAGUGGACGAGGACGUGGACCUGCAGUUUUCCAUGCUUCAAGCUUCUUUUCUUCCACAACAGAAGGUGGGGUCUUUCGGUAAUUACCAAAAAGGUUAACCUCGCGACCAUAAAUUCUACUGAGCUCCCAUCCAGUGCUGAGUGAAGUCCUAUCAACAACAUUUUCAAACAUUGCAUGAAGAGGAAUUAGUG
rnacentral:misc_RNA from 1 species